rnacentral:lncRNA from 1 species
GUUACUGUCCUCAAUCAUGUUUCCUCUCUAAAACAGGAUUAUACAUCUCUAUUUAUUGUCAAAUGACUUGUCAUACAUUCUCUGGGAAAGAACCACAUUCCCACCUAAUUGAUUCUGCACUUGGCCAUCAUGUGAUAUGCACUGGCCAUGUGACCAAAAGAACGUUUAUCUCCACUACUUAUCACCACAACCCAAGAAGCAGAUACAACAGUUAUCUCCAUUUUACUGAUAAGAAAAG